AGGAUGAACGCUGGCGGCGUGCCUAAUGCAUGCAAGUCGCACGGAGUGUCUCUUCGGAGGCAUUGAGUGGCGAACGGGUGAGGAACGCGUGGACAACCUACCCCGGCGUGGGGGAUACCCGCCAGAAAUGGCGGCUAAUACCGCGUACGGUCGUCGAACGAAGGGUUUGACGAAGAAAGCAGUAAUGCGCGCUGGGAGGGGUCUGCGGCCGAUUAGCUUGUUGGCGGGGUAAUGGCUCACCAAGGCGAUGAUCGGUAGCUGGUCUGAGAGGAUGAUCAGCCACACGGGGACUGAGAGACGGCCCCGACUCCUACGGGAGGCAGCAGCAAGGAAUUUUCCGCAAUGGGGGCAACCCUGACGGAGCAACGCCGCGUGACGGAUGACGCCUCUUGGGGUGUAAACGUCUUUUGCCGAGGGAGAGAAUGGACGGUACUCGGCGAAUAAGGACCGGCUAACUACGUGCCAGCAGCCGC
rnacentral:rRNA from 1 species